GGGGGCUAGCGUUGCUCGGAAUCACUGGGCGUAAAGCGCACGUAGGCGGACUCUUAAGUCGGUGGUGAAAUCCUGGAGCUCAACUCCAGAACUGCCUUCGAUACUGAGAGUCUCGAGUCCGGGAGAGGUGAGCGGAACUGCGAGUGUAGAGGUGAAAUUCGUAGAUAUUCGCAAGAACACCAGUGGCGAAGGCGGCUCACUGGCCCGGUACUGACGCUGAGGUGCGAAAGCGUGGGGAGCAAACAGG
rnacentral:rRNA from 1 species